rnacentral:misc_RNA from 1 species
AAUUCUCAACCUUACCAGUUUUGUUAUGAGACUGUGUAAGGCUUGGAUGUGGGGGUUUUUGCAGGCUACCUAGUGUGGUCUGCUCCCCUGAAAUGCAUUAGCGAGUUCACUAAGCUCCGUCUAUUGGUGUGAUAAUUAUCUACGCCGUGGAAGGAACUUAGACUUGCUUCUAACCGUCUGCAAAGACAACUUUUGACA